UACGAAGGGGGGCUAGCGUUGCUCGGAAUCACUGGGCGUAAAGCGCACGUAGGCGGCUUCUUAAGUCAGGGGUGAAAUCCUGGAGCUCAACUCCAGAACUGCCUUUGAUACUGGGAGGCUCGAGUCCGGGAGAGGUGAGUGGAACUGCGAGUGUAGAGGUGAAAUUCGUAGAUAUUCGGAAGAACACCAGUGGCGAAGGCGGCUCACUGGUCCGGUACUGACGCUGAGGUGCGAAAAGCGUGGGGGAGCAAACAGGG
rnacentral:rRNA from 1 species